GACGAACGCUGGCGGCGUGCUUAACACAUGCAAGUCGAACGGAAAGGCCCUGCUUUUGUGGGGUGCUCGAGUGGCGAACGGGUGAGUAACACGUGAGUAACCUGCCCUUGACUUUGGGAUAACUUCAGGAAACUGGGGCUAAUACCGGAUAGGAGCUCCUGCUGCAUGGUGGGGGUUGGAGAGUUUCGGCGGUUGGGGAUGGACUCGCGGCUUAUCAGCUUGUUGGUGGGGUAGUGGCUUACCAAGGCUUUGACGGGUAGCCGGCCUGAGAGGGUGACCGGCCACAUUGGGACUGAGGUACGGCCCAGACUCCUACGGGAGGCAGCGGUGGGGAAUAUUGCACAAUGGGCGGAAGCCUGAUGCAGCAACGCCGCGGGCGGGAUGACGGCCUUCGGGUUGUAAACCGCUUUCGCCUGUGACGAAGCGUGAGUGACGGUAAUGGGUAAAGAAGCACCGGCUAACUACGUG
rnacentral:rRNA from 1 species